rnacentral:lncRNA from 1 species
UGAGAUGGUUCUGUCUCUGCUUUGGGAACAAUGGAGCUUUUACAAACUUCACUCUCACGGACCACUGGUUCAAAAGAAGGCUCCACCUUCAACCGUUUUGAUGAAGGUUCCAAAUUAUCUACAGUAUCAGUACAUCCAGGGGCACCAGAAACGGCUCCAUCAGUAGCGCAUGGUGAAUCAUUUGAUACUACAGCUCCGUUCACUACACUGCUUUCGCUUUUUAAACGGGCCUGGACACGCGCAUUAGCUUGCUGCUGAUGGUAGGUCUUAACUGGUACACAGACGGGGCACCGAGGAUCCUUGCAGUUUUUAUAGUGGCCAAUCAACGACUUCGUGGGGCGACAACGAGGAUACAAACACUGAGGCUCUACACAGCUGUUCAUGUGACUCAGUAGCUUCUGAACAGUAACGCAGUUUCGUCCCGGGCACUUCACUCCUGGCCGUUUGCAGGUCCGUGCAUGAAGCAGAAACAAGAGCCAUCUCUGUUGAUUUUGGAACUUGACAUCGCGAUUUCCAUAUCUACAUGCCGUUCCAGUUGCAUUUUGCAGACUGUGGGAUUCGGAUGCGGUGGAAGUAUGAAUUUGACCAAUAACAGACCCUUCCAUCAAAUUAUUAGGUUGAGCUUCAUCCGUACCGGUAACUCUUUCACGAAAAUCCUCCUGAACGUUCUGUUCACUCGACAUACCAUUAGACAUUUGAGUGUUUCCCUGAGACUGGGAAGGCCACUGAUCCUGUGGAUUGGAUUCUAAUUUUACUCCAACAGCAAGGUUGCUAAAACUGUGGACUGUAUCAGAGCCCGGGUGCAUCAUUUGCUGAACCUGUUGGCUAUUUUGAGGAAGGAGCGUGCAUAUAUCACUCUGACUUGUAACUGCUACAUGUUGAGCGUUUGCAGAGCGGUCUGCUCCUGGGUUCUGAUAUUGAUUCUGGAACUGAGAAAGCUGGAGUCGUUCAGAUGCUUGGGAGUGCAAAGGUUCACUAUGGCUCUGCACUCCAGGUUCAUGUUGAACAUUCGUAACAACGUCAGAAGCCACCUGAGGUUUCCCGGAACCAUCUUUGCUUAUUAACUUAUGUUGCUGCAGGGCCUGCUGCUUCAAUGUUUUUUGCUGGAUAAAUUUCUGCUGCUGCUGCUGCUGUUGUUGAAUCUGAUUAGGCUGUUGCGGAAAUUGUUGUUGUUGAUGUGAAUGCAGAGAAGAGUUAGCUCUGGACACAGACUGGAAACUUGCUGCAUUGAUAUUCUGAGCACUUGGCAUCUUCCCUACCGAUGUUACAGCUCCAUGCAAAUUUUUAGAUCCAAGGUUGUUGUCAGGAUUUGUUGUUCUAUAACCUUCCCCUGAAAUAUGAAGAAACAUACUUUAAAAUAUUCUGAUAGGUUAGUACUAGUGCCAAAGCACAAGAAAGGACCAUACAUAUAAAAUGAGAUGAUUAGGACAGACGAAAAAGCGAGAGCCUGAAGAGUUUACCUGCGUCUACACUUUUUUUGCUCACACCAACACCACCAUUUACAGAGUUACUAGCCACACCAGCCAGCUUUGGUUGCAUGUUGUCCGGUCUAUGACCAGCAGUCAUUUGGUUAGACACCGUUUGACUAUUUUGACCACCAGUAUCCUGCCUUUGCUUCUGCUGCUGAGACUGAGGUACCACCGUGGGCUCAGCAGAAAAUCCACCACUGUUGUUAUUAGUACCACUAUUAACGAAACCAGGUGUAGGAAUCAUCUGGGGAGCACUUCUUUGAGAACCCAUGUUCCCUCUUGAACCAAGAGAAAAGUUUCUCGGUGAAUUCUGGUAACCAUUAGACAUAUUACCUGAAAUGAAAUUGCUAAGGUGUCAGAGACUCGGCGUGAGAUUAAAAUUUCCAGGAAAAGUAUCUAUGAUCAAACCUCCAUGGAUGCCACCAGAAGCUAGAAGGUUUCCAGUGUUGACAGCUUUGCUUGUACUGCUGUUGUUUCCAGCUAUAGUAGUAUCAGCAGAGGGUGUAACCAUCGAAGUAGAAUUAUCCCCAGUAUGUGGUAAUCUUGGAGUAGGUAUCAUCGUAGUACCCCCACCAGCAUGUGAUAAUCCUGGAGUAGGUAUCAUCAUUCCAACAGAAGGAGAAUUAGAAUGUCGCUGAUUGUAGUUAUUCAAAUGUCUGCCUUUUAUUAGGCUCGUAAUCCUAGACUCAAGGGUUGACCGGUUCACGUAAUCCUCCUGUUAGUAUAAGUCGAAAAGAAAAAUCUUAAGGAAUGACAUGAGUCAACAAGCUGGAUGUAGAGGCAGAAAUAUUUUGAGAUACCUUUGAGACGGCCAUCUUAAACAGCCCCUCCUCUAAGCGUCUAGCAACAUCCAUAUACUUUGCCUUUGAUGCAGCAUCGGCCUGUGAUGGUUGCCGCUGCUGUAACAUGUUAAACCUGUACAAAUCAAUAGAAAAGUUAUUAUUCAUCAGCGAGCACAUACUUGUGGAGAGAAAAUAAAAGGAUAAAUCUAUGAAUAAAAAUUGCUUUUCUGUAAAUUUUUGAAGUCAAUAAAAUCGCACACCUGGCCAACCCACUGACGAAGACUAAGAAUAUGUUCUCUCACUUGGUCGGGAGUGAACAUUUCAGUUAAAGAAACACCCUUUAUCUUUGGUUUUCCAGGUUUUGAUGCAACAACGUCAGCAGACUCCACCACAACUUCUUCCUUCGGCUCUUUCUCCAUUUUAACGUUUUCUUGCUUUAGCGAGGCACCAGAUAAAUCAUGUUGACCUGGUUCACUGACAGGCCUAGGUUUGGGAACAUUUUCAACAGCUUCAUGUUUUAUCUCCUUGAUGCUGAAUCCUGCUUGAACAGAAACAUCAGGAAUCUCUUCUUUCACUUCCAACUUCUCUGACUUCAAUGCCGCAUGUGCGUCGCUCUGCAUAUGAUCCUUUCUUUCAGCAUUCUGAGAUGGUUCUGUCUCUGCUUUGGGAACAAUGGAGCUUUUACAAACUUCACUCUCACGGACCACUGGUUCAAAAGAAGGCUCCACCUUCAACCGUUUUGAUGAAGGUUCCAAAUUAUCUACAGUAUCAGUACAUCCAGGGGCACCAGAAACGGCUCCAUCAGUAGCGCAUGGUGAAUCAUUUGAUACUACAGCUCCGUUCACUACACUGCUUUCGCUUUUUAAACGGGCCUGGACACGCGCAUUAGCUUGCUGCUGAUGGUAGGUCUUAACUGGUACACAGACGGGGCACCGAGGAUCCUUGCAGUUUUUAUAGUGGCCAAUCAACGACUUCGUGGGGCGACAACGAGGAUACAAACACUGAGGCUCUACACAGCUGUUC